UCUUCCCUCCCUCCAUAAACAAUUCCACAAUAAAUAUUCUAAUACAUACUCUGUUCUUCACAUUUUGUUGCUUUUAUUUCUAUAUGAGAGAUUCACAAAAUUGUGAUUGCUGGCUUUGGGCUUAUCCUCUAGAUUGUGGUAGCACAUAGACCACUGAGAGAAAAAAAAACUGCAACAUAAAUCUUCUAUAUCCUUCCAAGAUAUUUUUUAUCCAUCACAGUGAAAAGAAAGAUAUUUGAAGCUAUGCAAGAGUUCUGAAAAUAGAUCACCAAGAACCACCUGUAUGUACAGUACUAGAGAAAAGACUCUACAAGACAAAUGAAUCAAGACAUGGACCUCUGAUAGCAGAAGAUGAAGUGGAAAGGAAACGGUGAUAAUUCUCCUACGGUAAUACUCCUAAACAGAUUGUGAUACAUAGAUGCAGUUGAGGUUGGAUAGUAAGGCAUGGAAUUACUAAGCUAAAGAGUAAGCUCACUGAAAAUGACAGAUAAACAUGAAGAUGUACUCUUUGUCCAGUUGGGGAAGAAGCUCUUCAGUUGGCAGCCUGAACAGCCCGAAUGGCCAUUGGGUAAAUCAGCCACCCUAAGGAAGAAGAGAGUCCAGGCACUCAAGUGGGUCAAGCUGUCUGGAGGGGGGUUUUGUGAGUAAUUAUUUAAAAAAAUGAUUUCACAAAUGUUCCUGUGAGAUCCAGAGCCCAGAGAUCCAGGCAUUGUGGUCCCUCAGUGUGUCUGGGCUCUGGAUCUCACAGGAACAGAGGGAAGUGAAGCCCAAAGCCACUGUCACUAUAGUGCAUUUCAUUGAUGUCAAAUUUGUCACACGACCUGGUCUUGUAGUUGAGCCAGUUCAUAUCUUGAACAAAAUGAGGGUGAGCACUUCAGCAGCGAAAAACUUUUCACUACAAAAGGAUGCUGGGAGCCAGGUAGUGCAUGUAACUGUAGUUUGCUCAGGGAGAGUGAAGAGUCAGAAGAGAAAAAGUUCCUGAAUAAGAUUUAAUGCAAACAAGGAAACAAAUAAACAGAACAAAAUAAACCAGGAUUUUAAAAAGAAGCACAGAAAAGAGAAAUUUGUAAAAGAGAUGAAGACCUGGUGGUUGAACCACAGGAAAAGAUCCUGGAGCAGGAGUGUGGAUUUAAGGUGAAAAGAGAAGAGGCAGUUUCAGGAAGGAGGGCGUGGUCAGCAAUGCCAGUGGCUUCCAGGGGAGAUGCACACUGAUUGCCUUUAGCUACAGUGAGGAAUGUCUGAUGACAGAAGUCACAUGUCUUCAUCCGUACUGCAAAGAAGGCUGAGAACACAGAUGCUGGACUUGCAUGAAAGAAAGAAGAUAUGGCAGCAGCAGAAACAGAACUUGCCUGUUUGCAACAGAGACUGUUACUCCAGGA